GUAUACAUUCUGUUGACUAAGAAUAAAGCAAUUUUCUUUCUUUCUUUCUUUUCCUUUUUCAUUCCUUCUUUCUUUUCUUUUUUUUUUUCCUUUUCUUUCUUUCUUUCUUUCUUUUUUUUUUCCUUUGGCAGUGUCUGCUUUAUUUUGUGUAAAGAGUCUGGAAACACGAUUUUCAGCAUGGCUUGCAAAGCAUGUAUGGGCAAGUUUUAAGAGCAUAUUUGUACACCACCCCAGCUUUCAUUCCUACAAUGGUCUUUGUUAACUGGCAUCACCUAUGAUCAUUUCAUUUUAGUCCAUUUGUGGCUUUAUAUUUCAGGUAGGCUGAAUUUUUUAAAUCAAUUUAUAAUUUAUUUCAAUGUAAUUUCAGAAACUGAAUUUUAUCUUUUACCAGUCGUCUUGUUAUAAUUUAUCCAAUAAUGGCUUCUGUCCUCAAUUAUUUUGUAUACAAAUUUGAUGAUAUAUUAAAUUUUGUCCUUGAUUUCUUCAGUUAGAAUAUCCACCUCUUCGUACUUAACAUGUACCAAAGCUUGAUAAUACCUUAUAUGUGGUAGAAUAAAUCUCUUCUCUUUAUUCUUAAUUUUUUUCUU
rnacentral:lncRNA from 12 species